rnacentral:misc_RNA from 1 species
GAGCCAGAGACAUUCCAACAAGAAUUGCAGCCUUAUUGGUGUAACCAAAACCCUUGACAACUGCCGCAACUACUACAGUUUUUAUAACAAUGACCAAUAUAACAGCUGCUACUAAGAUAUCGAUGUGAUUCCAAAGAAAAUGAACAUGGAUAAGCAUCCCAAUGCUAGCUAAAAAAAGAGCAGCAAAGAAGUUCCGUAUAGGUUCAACCUGUUCCAGUGUAUGUUGAGCAAAAUCGGUUGUUGAUAUCAUUACCCCGGCAGCAAAAGAACCCAGCUCAAGACUCAAUCCCAGUUUAUCACUACACCAAGCAACAAGCAAACAGAAAGCUACAGAUGCAAGUUGAUACAGUUCAUUAGUCUGUGAAGAUAGGCCUAUCAUUAGCCUAAGAAACCAAGGUACACAUGUGCGACAUAAUACUGACAAAAUGGUCAAGAAUAUGAGCAGAACUACUAAUAAUUUUGCCAUGGAAAACAUUCCUUGAAGUGCACCAGAAGUACCGCCAAGAAUAGGAAGUAGUGCAAAUAGCAAACCAACAGUGCAAUCCUGCAGAAUAAGAGUUCCAAUGGUGACUUGCCCAUACAGGGUAUUAACACUAUUUCUUUCCAUCAGAAAUUUCAACACCACUGCUGUCGAAGACAUUGAUAAGAAAACGCCGACAAAAACACCUUCAGAUGCUUCCCCACCGCAUAACGAGGCUGUUAUACCAGACAAACACAUAAAGAGAAAUAUUUGGAGUAACCCUCCUAGCACCGCAACAGCUCGAACAAUGCGAAGCUUCGCUGUAGAGAACUCCAAACCCAAUGCAAAUAGAAGAAAAAUAACGCCAAACUGAGCAACUGUUUCCACCUGCACCAUUUCGCUGACAAAGUUAAAACCCCCAGGUCCAAUUACAGAUCCUGCUAGCAAAUAUCCUGUGAAAACCGGUUGUCCAGCACAGGCAAAGGCAAUCCCACCGCAUGUUGCAGAAACAAUGACAACAACGAGAUCUGAU